GGUCCUUUUACCUUUACCUAUGUAUUGGUAUAUGUAUAUGUAUAUGUAUAUGUAUAUGUGCAAAGUCCAAAGGAUAGCUGUCUUCAGCUUUGCACACUGUUUCAGAAAGUGCAAGUUUUGUAUGUUCACCUUCAAACAUGACCUGAAUUGAAUGUCUCCCUCACCCCUCGUUCCACAGUCCAUUUUUGUUCUAUUUCCCCAUUCAUUAAUGCUUACAGGAGGUGUCUUGAGCACAGAGAUUGCCCUCUGUAUCUAGUUUGUCUGGUGGAGAAGAGGAAGGCCUAAUCACACCUCCCUCCUUCAAAGCCAAUCCAGCUUCCUUUUUCCAAGCCCUCUGAAUUUUGGGCAGCUGGCAUGACCUUCUGGCUCACAGAAUAGCCCUGGGAUAGUCAAAAGAACGUGGAACGACAAUAUAAUAAUUAUUAUUAUUAUAUCUCAGGCCUCUACACCCCCUGCAGCCUGGGGAUUAGAAUCCUUAUUGACCCAACAGGGUACAAUUUGAGAAAUUACACGCAUCGUACACUGUAUUUGGGGCACAUGUUCAAAGAUGAACAGUGGGCAGGUACCAGCCUUCCAGAUCUAAGACUUUCACUAAGGUUUCCACAUUGUCCAGCAAGGGGCAGCAACUACUGGUGAACAGAUCAGGUCGAGAGCUGGGAGGGAGUUAGAAACAAAGCAAAUAAGCAGACAGAGAACAAAAGCUGUUCUGUCCUCUCCUUCCUCUAGUAAUAGAAUUGUAUUCCCCUGGGGUUUCCCAAAUGAGGGUAUUUUCAGACUUCAAAUGUGAAGUUCCUUUAUUAUGGUGGGAGAUCAACUCAGCUUUCUGCCAAACUUUCCUAGGGGAAAACACCAGCAGUUUCCCUGCUUGGGAAACACCAGCCCCUUCUCCCUGCUCCACACAGAACCACAGAAUUGUAGAGAUGGAAGGGACUCCUAAAGGUUUUCUAGUCUAGCCCCCUGCAAUGCAGGAACUUCUUCGGCAAUCACUCAUAGCUAAGGAAGCAUGCAGUCUGAGCAAGGACACAAACGCCACUAAAGGGAGCGCGGUUGUCAUCCUCUAAACAUGGCGGUACUCCAGCUCCCAUCAUAGAAUCAGAGAAUUGUAGACUUAAAAGGGACCACAAGGGGCAUCUAGUCCAACCCCCUGCAAUGCAGGAAUCUUUUGCCCAACAUGGGGCUUUCACCUACAACCCUAAGAGUCUCUUGCUCUACUCACUGAGCUGCCAAGGCAGAGUUCUGCCCAACCAUCAUGGCCAACAGUCAUGGCUGAUGGGAGCAUCUGUGUGCAGUGCCAGAUUUAAGUACAUUCAUAUCUCAGGUUGCAGACGCUUCAGGUUGCGCGUUUUCGGGUUGCAGAUGUGUAGAAACCCGGAAGUACCGGAACGGGUUACUUCCAGGUUUUGGCGCAUGCGCAGAAACACUAAAUUGCACUUUGUGCAUGCGCAGAAGCGCCAAAUCGCAUGCACAAAUGCAGCGCUGCAGGUUGCGGACACUGCUAGGUUGGCAGGAGCUGGGACCAAGCAACGGGAGCUCACCCCGUCGUGGGGAUUCGAACCGCCGACCUUCUGAUCGGCAAGCCCUAGGCUCAGUGGUUUAGACCACAAUGCCACCCGCGUCCUGGUGCACAUCUGUAAAUAAACAUCAGGCACCCAGAGCCCAGUAGAAACGGAUGGACAUCUACAUCAGAUUCCUAGAAGCAAGGUGAAGCCUAAAGCCUCUCCAUUGAGUCCUGCUUCUUAAUUGUAUUUCAGUUCAGCUAUUACUUUGAUAAAAUACAUACUUUGUUAUGUGCAAAUGGCUUUAGAUACCUGCUAGGUCCAUAAAUUACCAUAUAGAAUAAAUUCAACACAAAAAAACAGCAACAAUUUGUUGUUGACAAAGGAUAGCUGGACAUAUAAAGGGCCCCAUUACCUUCAGUAGCUUAGGGCCUCACCAAACCUAAAUCUGGCCCUGGCUGCAUGCUUCACUGCCCUCUGCAACUCCUUGCCAUUCCUGAGUCCAGCAGAAGUUGCAUGAAUUAUGCCAUAUUAUAAAAACAAUGCUAGUUUGUAUAAUUUAUUCAGGGCACAGCUUCAGUUUUUUCUUGUCAUGGGAUCUGCAGAUGAUUAUUAUUAUUUUACUGUUUUGAGGUGCACGCAGCCUGAUAGACUGCUUUUGAAUAGGAAAGUUCCAUUUAAUCUCCAAUAGAAAUUGAGAGACUUUAUCCUGCAUUACUUUGUAUACCCUUUAAAAAACAACAACACCCUAAGCUAAAAAAAAGUCACUAUAGAGUAUCUUCUUCUGUUCCUUUUCCCAAAGUAUUUCCUCGCAUUCGUGUUUCAGGCCCCAUCUGUAUAGUACUUCUAAAGCAGUAUCAUGCCAUUUUUACAGUAAUGGUUUCCCACAAAGGAUCCCAUAGUCUGUUAAGGCUGCUAAGAGAAGACCCCAGUUCCACUCAGAGAGCUACAUUUCCCAGAAUUCCCUGGGAAGAGGGUUUGAUUGUUAAGCUACUUUGAGAAUUGCACCUGUGUGAGGAAAUUGGCAUCUCCUAACAAAGGUCCAUAUAGUAAAAGCCAUGGUUUUCCCAGUAGUGAUGUAUGGAAGUGAGAGCUGGACCAUAAAGAAGGCUGAUCGCCGAAGAAUUGAUGCUUUUGAAUUAUGGUGCUGGAGGAGACUCUUGAGAGUCCCAUGGACUGCAAGAAGAUCCAACCUUUCCAUUCUGAAGGAAAUCAGCCCUGAGUGUUCACUGGAAGGACAGAUCGUGAAGCUGAGGCUCCAAUACUUUGGCCACCUCAUGAGAAGGGAAGACUCCCUGGAAAAGACCCUGAUGUUGGGAAAGAUGGAGGGCACAAGGAGAAGGGGACGACAGAGGACGAGAUGGUUGGAUAGUGUUCUCGAAGCUACCAGCAUGAGUUUGACCAAACUGCGGGAGGCAGUGGAAGACAGGAGUGCCUGGCGUGCUCUGGUCCAGGGAGUCACAGAGAGUCGGACACGACUAAACGACUAAACAACAACAACUCGCAGCACCUUUAACAAACUACAGUUCCCAUGGUUCUUGGGAGGGAGCCAUAGCUAUUUCAAUUGGCAUAAUACUACUUUAAAUGUAUAGCACAGAUGAGUCCUCAGACUCAUGUAUAUUCCUGCACGUUUUUGAUUUUCACAAAAGCGGGGAGUUGUCAGACCUCUGGUUCUGGAAAAGCAGCAUUCCUUGUGGCUCUUGAAAAGAAAGCAACGGUGAAUUGAAAAUGGAAAUUAAAUUUAAUAGGCACAUAGAUCAAGGGCAAACCCAGGAGAGCAAACCCAGGGCUGCCCAAACACGAUCUGACGGAGAUCUCGUUUUGGAACGGUGCCGUAUUUCUUCCAGUCAGUGAAUACUUCUUGGUGGCCUGCAGCAAAAGCCUUGUGGCUUGUUUUUGGUAUUGGUUAAAUUAAUUGUUCAGUGAACUACUAGCGAUACUAAUCAAACAAUUUGUUUCUGGUGCCCUGCCAACUCUGGAGAAUCAAAAGGAGCAGAGAGAGCAGACGGGAAAGUUCAGUGCUUUGGCUCAAGCCAAGAUAAGCUACAUUUGUGGCCGCGGGAUUAUAUUUGUGGAUGGAUACCAGGCAAGGGAAUGAACUUUUGGAUGGCUUGGUUGUCCUAAGGAGGGCUUAGGAAGUCUGGGGUGCUGAACGGGAUAGACCAUAGCUGUCAACUUUCAGAUUUGAAAAUAAGGGAUCAGCAGCCUCGAAAAGGGACGCGGGUGGCGCUGUGGGUUAAACCACAGAGCCUAGGACUUGCCGAUCAGAAGGUCGGUGGUUCGAAUCCCCGUGACGGGGUGGGCUCCCGUUGCUCAGUUCCAGCUCCUGCCAACCUAGCAAUUCGAAAGCACGUCAAAGUGCAAGUAGAUAAAUAGGUACCGCUCCGGCGGGAAGGCAAACGGCGUUUCCGUGUGCUGCUCUGGUUUGCCAGAAGCGGCUUAGUCAUGCUGGCCACAUGACCCGGAAGCUGUACACCGGCUCCCUCGGCCAAUAAAGCGAGAUGAGCACCGCAGCCCCAGAGUCGGUCACGACUGGACCUAAUGGUCAGGGGUCCCUUUACCUUUUUUAGCCUCGAAAAUAAGGGAUCAGCAGCCUCACCUGUCCCGGGCACAGUCUAAGGGAUAUCUAACAAUCCGGGAUAGCAGCGGGAAAUGGUGCUGGAAUAAGGGCAUUUCCCGCAAAAAAAGGGAAGGUUGACAGCUAUGGGGUAGACCAGUCAGAGGAGGAGAGGCCAGCAACCGGCAGUCUUUGUGCCAAGCCUACGGCCCCCACAAGGCACACAAUUUUACUU